GAUGAACGCUGGCGGCGUGCUUAACACAUGCAAGUCGAACGGAAAGGCUCCUGCUUGCAGGGGUACUCGAGUGGCGAACGGGUGAGUAACACGUGGGUGAUCUGCCCUGCACUUCGGGAUAAGCCUGGGAAACUGGGUCUAAUACCGGAUAGGACUAUGGGUUGGAUGCCAUUGUGGAAAGUUUUUUCGUUGUGGGAUGAGCUCGCGGCCUAUCAGCUUGUUGGUGGGGUAAUGGCCUACCAAGGCGUCGACGGGUAUCCGGCCUGAGAGGGUGUAAGGCCACAUUGGGACUGAGAUACGGCACAGCCUCCUACGGGAGGCAGCAGUGGGGAAUAUUGCACAAUGGGCGGAAGCCAGAUGCAGCGACGCCGCGUGGGGGAUGACGGCCUUCGGGUUGUAAACUAAUUUCGCUAGGGACGAAGCGAAAGUGACGGUACCUGGAGAAGAAGCACCGGCUAACUACGUG
rnacentral:rRNA from 1 species